rnacentral:rRNA from 1 species
GAUGAACGCUGGCGGCGUGCCUAAUACAUGCAAGUCGAGCGAACAGACGAGGAGCUUGCUCCUCUGACGUUAGCGGCGGACGGGUGAGUAACACGUGGAUAACCUACCUAUAAGACUGGGAUAACUUCGGGAAACCGGAGCUAAUACCGGAUAAUAUAUUGAACCGCAUGGUUCAAUAGUGAAAGACGGUUUUGCUGUCACUUAUAGAUGGAUCCGCGCCGCACUAGCUAGUUGGUAAGGUAACGGCUUACCAAGGCAACGAUGCGUAGCCGACCUGAGAGGGUGAUCGGCCACACUGGAACUGAGACACGGUCCAGACUCCUACGGGAGGCAGCAGUAGGGAAUCUUCCGCAAAGGGCGAAAGCCUGACGGAGCAACGCCGCGUGAGUGAUGAAGGUCUUCGGAUCGUAAAACUCUGUUAUUAGGGAAGAACAAAUGUGUAAGUAACUAUGCACGUCUUGACGGUACCUAAUCAGAAAGCCACGGCUAACUACGUG